GCCUCGGGGAAAUGCAGACUCCCCGUCAGACGGUAGCCGUCCAAGUUCUGCGCAGCACUCGCUUUGUCGAGGAGAUUGCGCAUGCAUG
rnacentral:ncRNA from 1 species